UGGGGAAUUUUGCACAAUGGAGGAAACUCUGAUGCAGCGACGCCGCGUGAGUGAUGAAGAUCUUCGGAUUGUAAAACUCUGUCCUUAGUGAAGAUAAUGACAGUAACUAAGAAGCAAGCCCUGGCUAAAUACGUGCCAGCAGCCGCGGUAAUACGUAUGGGGCAAGCGUUGUCCGGAAUUAUUGGGCGUAAAGGGUACGUAGGCGGUUUAAUAAGUCCUAAUUAAAAGGCAAUGGCUCAACCAUAGUAUGGUUAGGAAACUGUUGAACUUGAGUAGAUGAGGGGAAAGUGGAAUUCCAUGUGUAGCGGUGAAAUGCGUAGAUAUAUGGAGGAACACCAAUGGCGAAGGCAACUUUCUGGAAUCAAACUGACGCUGAGGUACGAAGGCGUGGGGAGCAAACAGG
rnacentral:rRNA from 1 species